rnacentral:rRNA from 1 species
AGUGAACGCUGGCGGUAGCCCUAACACAUGCAAGUCGAACGGCAGCACAGUAAGAGCUUGCUCUUACGGGUGGCGAGUGGCGGGCGGGUGAGGAAUACAUCGGAAUCUACUUUUUCGUGGGGGAUAACGUAGGGAAACUUACGCUAAUACCGCAUACGACCUACGGGUGAAAGCAGGGGAUCUUCGGACCUUGCGCGAUUGAAUGAGCCGAUGUCGGAUUAGCUAGUUGGCGGGGUAAAGGCCCACCAAGGCGACGAUCCGUAGCUGGUCUGAGAGGAUGAUCAGCCACACUGGAACUGAGACACGGUCCAGACUCCUACGGGAGGCAGCAGUGGGGAAUAUUGGACAAUGGGCGCAAGCCUGAUCCAGCCAUACCGCGUGGGUGAAGAAGGCCUUCGGGUUGUAAAGCCCUUUUGUUGGGAAAGAAAAGCAGCAGGUUAAUACCCCGCUGUUCUGACGGUACCCAAAGAAUAAGCACCGGCUAACUUCGUG